rnacentral:rRNA from 1 species
UACAGAGGGUGCAAGCGUUAAUCGGAAUUACUGGGCGUAAAGAGUGUGUAGGCGGUGUUCCAAGUCUGGUGUGAAAUCUCCCGGCUCAACUGGGAGGGUGCGCCGGAAACUGGAAUGCUAGAGGGUGGGAGAGGUAAGCGGAAUUCCUGGUGUAGCGGUGAAAUGCGUAGAUAUCAGGAGGAACACCUGUGGUGUAGACAGCUUACUGGACCACUUCUGACGCUGAGACACGAAAGCGUGGGUAGCAAACAGG